AUUGAACGCUGGCGGCAUGCCUUACACAUGCAAGUCGAACGGCAGCACGGGUGCUUGCACCUGUUGGCGAGUGGCGAACGGGUGAGUAAUACAUCGGAACAUGUCCUGUAGUGGGGGAUAGCCCGGCGAAAGCCGGAUUAAUACCGCAUACGAUCUACGGAUGAAAGCGGGGGACCUUCGGGCCUCGCGCUAUAGGGUUGGCCGAUGGCUGAUUAGCUAGUUGGUGGGGUAAAGGCCUACCAAGGCGACGAUCAGUAGCUGGUCUGAGAGGACGACCAGCCACACUGGGACUGAGACACGGCCCAGACUCCUACGGGAGGCAGCAGUGGGGAAUUUUGGACAAUGGGCGAAAGCCUGAUCCAGCAAUGCCGCGUGUGUGAAGAAGGCCUUCGGGUUGUAAAGCACUUUUGUCCGGAAAGAAAUCCUUGGCCCUAAUACGGUCGGGGGAUGACGGUACCGGAAGAAUAAGCACCGGCUAACUACGUG
rnacentral:rRNA from 1 species